rnacentral:rRNA from 1 species
GGGUCAGUAGGUUGGUCGUGCCACCGGUACGUACUGGUCUCACUGAUUCCUCCCUCCUGAAGAACCGUAAUGCCAUUAAUUUGGUGUUGCGGGGAAACAGGACUGUUACUUUGAAAAAAUUAGAGUGUUUAAAGCAAGCUAACGCUUGAAUACAUUAGCACGGAAUAAUGAAAUAGGACGAUCGAUCCUAUUUUGUUGGUUUCUAGGAUUGACGUA